rnacentral:tRNA from 1 species
GAGAGAGGCUCGUAGCAACGAAAAUUGCUAAUUUUCAUACCCCUGGUUGAACUCCAGGGCUCACUCG